AGAUGGGUCUCGCGCAAAGGGGACCCGUGAACCUCGUCAGGUCCGGAAGGAAGCAGCGAUAAGCGGUCAUCUUCUUGUGCCGCGAGGGUGCCUGUUUCUC
rnacentral:SRP_RNA from 1 species